UGCUGCUGCACCAGCUAGAGGAUUUGCUGCUGAAACUGGUGAGAUUGUUGAAGAAACUGAUCCUGAAACUACUGCUGCUGAACAAAUAGAAUCUCUGCUACUCUCUCAGCCAACAGUCCCAUAUACUCAUCUUUCAAACUAAAAGAUGGUAUGGUACAGCUCGAUGGGGAUACUCUGACUGAGGGUCCUACCUCAGGCUCCAAAAAAGGGUGAUCAACUGGACUCUGCCUGGGCACAGGUGGUGAAGAUGGACUCUCCCCCUCAGCAUGCUCCUCCUCAUCAUCAUCCUCCUCUCAGAUGUAGCUGCAUGGCCCUUGGCCCAACGGCCAUCAACUUUGACAAACCCCAUGCACUGAAGGGAGUGGUUGUUGUAGGUAUCGGUGUAUGAUAGUCUACAAACAACCUUCCUCUCAAAACUC
rnacentral:lncRNA from 1 species